rnacentral:rRNA from 1 species
GUCUGCAACUCGACCGCAUGAAGUCGGAAUCGCUAGUAAUCGCGAAUCAGAAUGUCGCGGUGAAUACGUUCCCGGGUCUUGUACACACCGCCCGUCACACCAUGGGAGUUGGAAGCGCCCGAAGUCUGUGACCUAACCGAAAGGGAGGAGCAGCCGAAGGUGAAGCCAGUGACUGGGGUGAAGUCGUAACAAGGUAAC